UACGUAGGGCGCGAGCGUUGUCCGGAAUUAUUGGGCGUAAAGAGCUCGUAGGCGGUUUGUCGCGUCUGCUGUGAAAACCUAAGGCUCAACCUUGGGCUUGCAGUGGGUACGGGCAGACUAGAGUGCGGUAGGGGUGACUGGAAUUCCUGGUGUAGCGGUGGAAUGCGCAGAUAUCAGGAGGAACACCGAUGGCGAAGGCAGGUCUCUGGGCCACUACUGACGCUGAGAAGCGAAAGCAUGGGGAGCGAACAGG
rnacentral:rRNA from 1 species